UACACUCCUACGGGAGGCAGCAGUGGGGAAUUUUGGACAAUGGGCGAAAGCCUGAUCCAGCAAUGCCGCGUGAGUGAAGAAGGCCUUCGGGUUGUAAAGCUCUUUUGUCAGGGAAGAAACGGUGAAAGCUAAUAUCUUUUGCUAAUGACGGUACCUGAAGAAUAAGCACCGGCUAACUACGUGCCAGCAGCCGCGGUAAUACGUAGGGUGCAAGCGUUAAUCGGAAUUACUGGGCGUAAAGCGUGCGCAGGCGGUUUUGUAAGUCUGAUGUGAAAUCCCCGGGCUCAACCUGGGAAUUGCAUUGGAGACUGCAAGGCUAGAAUCUGGCAGAGGGGGGUAGAAUUCCACGUGUAGCAGUGAAAUGCGUAGAUAUGUGGAGGAACACCGAUGGCGAAGACAGCCCCCUGGGUCAAGAUUGACGCUCAUGCACGAAAGCGUGGGGAGCAAACAGGAUUAGAAACCCGAGUAGUCCCAUG
rnacentral:rRNA from 1 species